rnacentral:rRNA from 1 species
CCUACGGGCGGCUGCAGUGAGGAAUAUUGGUCAAUGGGCGCGAGCCUGAACCAGCCAAGCAGCGUGAAGGAUGAAUGCCCUACGGGUUGUAAACUUCUUUUAUAAAGGAAUAAAGUGAGGCACGUGUGCCUUUUUGUAUGUACUUUAUGAAUAAGGAUCGGCUAACUCCGUGCCAGCAGCCGCGGUAAUACGGAGGAUCCGAGCGUUAUCCGGAUUUAUUGGGUUUAAAGGGAGCGUAGAUGGGUUGUUAAGUCAGUUGUGAAAGUUUGCGGCUCAACCGUAAAAGAGCAAUUGAUACUGGCAGGCUGGAGUACAGUUGAGGUAGGCGGAAUUCGUGGUGUAGCGGUGAAAUGCUUAGAUAUCACGAAGAACCCCGAUUGCGAAGGCAGCUUACUAAACUGCCACUGACGCUGAGGCUCGAAAGUGUGGGUAUCAAACAGGAUUAGAUACCCGGGUAGUC